GACGAACGCUGGCGGCGUGCCUAAUACAUGCAAGUCGAACGCAGUGGGGACGGGUGAGUAAAACGUGGGUAACCUCCCAUCAGAGGGGAUAACACUUGGAAACAGGUGCUAAACCCAUACUGCUGGAUGGACUCGCGGUGCAUUGGCUAGUCGGGGGGGAAACGGCUUACCAAGGCACCGAUGCAUAGCGGACCUGAGAGGGUGAUCGGCCACACUGGAACUGAGACACGGCCCAGACUCCUACGGGAGGCAGCAGUAGGGAAUCUUCGGCAAUGGACGAAAGUCUGACCGAGCAACGCCGCGUGAGUGAAGAAGGUUUUCGGAUCGUAAAACUCUGUUGUUAGAGAAGCGGUAUCUAACCAGAAAGCCACGGCUAACUACGUGCCAGCAGCCGCGGUAAUUC
rnacentral:rRNA from 1 species